rnacentral:rRNA from 1 species
UGCCCCCUGAUAAAUAUUAAAGGGCUGCAGUAUUUUGACUGUACAAAGGUAGCAUAAUCAUUAGUCAUUUAAUUGGUGACUUGUAUGAAUGAUUGGAUGAAAUAUAAACUGUUUCUUUAAUAAAUUAUAGAAAUUAAUUUUUUUGUUAAAAAGUAAAAAUAAAUUAAAAAGACGAGAAGACCCUAUAGAGUUUUAUUAUUAUUUUAAUUUGAAUUAUUUAUAAAUUUAAAAAUUUAAAUUAAAAUAAUAAUUUUGUUGGGGUGAUAUGAAAAUUAAAAAAACUUUUUAUAUUAAUAAACAUAAAUAAAUGAUUUAAAUGAUCUAUUAUUAAUAAUUGAAAGAAUAAAUUACCUUAGGGAUAACAGCGUAAUUUUUUUUUUUAGUUCAAAUAAAAAAAAAAGUUUGCGACCUCGAUGUUGGAUUAAGAUAAAAUUUAAAUGCAGAAGUUUAAAAUUUUGA